UGUUGAGCCUCUGUUCAGAUUGAUAAUGGGAUUUUCAGUGCUGAAUUUGGAUGGGCUACCUGGUCUUGCACCUUUUGAGGAGGCUGGAAAUUAUGUAAAAGAUGAUGUAUGGCCUGCCCUUAUUGUUGAGACAAGCAAUGCUUCUGAUCUCCAUGGAUAUACUGUCAGGGCUUUAUACAGGGCAUUCUAACAUCAUCUGAACAGGCUGUAAUUGAGGCCAAUAUCAUUCACCCGCUUGUACAUCUUCUCCAACAUUCAGAGUUCGAUAUAAAAAAUGAGGCUGCAUGGGCCAUCUCUAAUGCCACUUCCGGUGGCUCUCAUGAACAAAUCCAGUAUAUACUUGUGCUUCCUUUCUUGUUUACACAUGCACUUCUGUUGCAACCAAAAAAAAAAGAGAAAAUAUAUAAAAUUUGAGUUGACUCGUGUAGUUUAAUAUAUAUAUAUAUAUAGAUAUAAGAACUUCUGGUCCUGAUGCAUGUGGUUAGCCUAUUUUAAACAAUUUUUGUUGUUGAACACCUGAAACUAAGAUUUCUCGAUGGUGAUCAUUUUCAUUAUUAUGCAACCAUCAGCCUCUUGUAGAAAGAUUCAUCUAAUAUAUAGCUAUUAUAGUUGUAAUGCAUUUGGCAUGACAUUUCACUAACAUGGACAUUGCCUUGCAGAUUUCUUGUUAGCCAAGGUUGCAUCGGCAAACUCUGUGAUCUCCUAAACUGUCCAGACGCAAGGAUUGUAACUGUAUGCCUUGAGGGUCUGGAGAACAUUCUGAAGGUGGGUGAGGCAGACAAAGAAAUGGGACUAAAUGGUAGAGUCAAUAUAUAUGAUCAGGCAAUUGAUGAAUGUGAAGGAUUGGAUAAAAUCGAGAAUCUUCAGAACCACGACAACCAUGAGAUUUAUGAGAAGGAUGUGAAGAUCUUGGAGAGAUAUUGGGUAGAAGAAGAAGAUGAGGAGCAAAACAUCCAGGAUAACGGGGAUGGAACUCAACAAGGUUUUCCUUUUGGAGCAAACCAGCCUACCCUACCCCCUGGUGGCUUCAAAUUUGGGUAAAAAUAGUAAAGUUGCUCUCUACCCUGCUUUUGAUCAGGAUUUUUUUUAAAUAUAUAUAUAUAUUUAUUGCUCUCUUUUCUAGGAUGAAUUACUCAUUUGAAUUUGUCAUGUCAUUGUCGGGGGCCAGAUUUUUAGCAUGGCACAUAGGCUCGUCUAUGGAAUUUGUUAUAUUGAAGUCUUUAAACUUCAGUUUUGCAAUCUUGUUUCUAAAUUAAAUAGUAACCCUUUUGCCUUUUAUGUGAAGAAAGUUGGCAAUUGUGUAUCUUUUUCAAAUGGUCCUAUAAUCCAUUCAAUUUGGUUGUUCUGUUUGUUCCAUUAUAAA